rnacentral:rRNA from 1 species
UGGGGAAUAUUGGACAAUGGGCGAAAGCCUGAUCCAGCCAUGCCACGUGUGUGAAGAAGGUCUUCGGAUUGUAAAGCACUUUAAGUUGGGAGGAAGGGCAUUAACCUAAUACGUUAGUGUUUUGACGUUACCGACAGAAUAAGCACCGGCUAACUCUGUGCCAGCAGCCGCGGUAAUACAGAGGGUGCAAGCGUUAAUUGGAAUUACUGGGCGUAAAGCGCGCGUAGGUGGUUUGUUAAGUUGGAUGUGAAAUCCCCGGGCUCAACCUGGGAACUGCAUUCAAAACUGACUGACUAGAGUAUGGUAGAGGGUGGUGGAAUUUCCUGUGUAGCGGUGAAAUGCGUAGAUAUAGGAAGGAACACCAGUGGCGAAGGCGACCACCUGGACUAAUACUGACACUGAGGUGCGAAAGCGUGGGGAGCAAACA